rnacentral:rRNA from 1 species
GACGAACGCUGGCGGCGUGCUUAACACAUGCAAGUCGAGCGGUAAGGCUCCUUCGGGAGUACACGAGCGGCGAACGGGUGAGUAACACGUGAGUAACCUGCCCUUCUCAUCGGAAUAAGCGUUGGAAACGACGUCUAAUGCCGAAUACGACUUCGGAAGGCAUCUUCUGAAGUGGAAAGCUCCGGCGGAGAAGGAUGGACUCGCGGCCUAUCAGCUAGUUGGUGAGGUAACGGCUCACCAAGGCGACGACGGGUAGCCGGCCUGAGGGGGUGGCCGGACACACUGGGACGGAGACGCGGGCCAGACUCCUACGGGAGGCAGCGGUGGGGGAUAUUGGACAAUGGGCGCAAGCCUGAUCCGGCAACGCCGCGUGAGGGAUGACGGCCUUCGGGUUGUAAACCUCUUUCAGCAGGGACGAAGCGCAAGUGACGGUACCUGCAGAAGAAGGACCGGCCAACUACGUGCCAGCAGCCGCCGUAAGAC